CUGGGGCAUGUGAAGGGCCUGAAAAGUGAUGCAGAGGUUGCUCUCUUUCUGUUGGACAGGUGUCCAAGAAUCAUGGGGAACCAUCUGACGCUGGCAUCGACUGUAUAAUCGUCAGUUUCAGUGCGAUGACGGGGCCAACAAGUCCACUGUUUGUUCAACUCCAUGUCUGUUCUCCAGCUGUAUCCCCCGAUGAGCCCGGACCACAACACUUUAAUACCCACUCUGUCAUAUCUGCGUCUGCCAGGAACCAGAUUGGAAGCCCUCUUAAACCUCGAUAUAAAUUUUCAUGACGUGUUGAUUUGGGGAAACUAAUGCAUAUGCUGGAAGACGUUGCGCUGAAGCAAAGAUGAUCUGUGCUGUCUUUAAUUGCUCCGUUAAUGUGCAGUGGAAAAACCCAGACUGCGAGGGGUUGUUUUGAGGUUUGGUCCGGCUGGAGUGUCUCUAUGUAAGCAGGUGCUCUACUGCGGCACGGUGGCCAACAACCCCAAAAGUCUGCUGCCUCUCGUCCAACCUAAACUGAAUAAACUGCAUCAUGCAGCCUGG